rnacentral:rRNA from 1 species
AUACGAAAGGUGCAAGCGUUGUUCGGAUUUACUGGGCGUAAAGAGAGUGUAGGUGGUUUAUUAAGUCGGAUGUGAAAUCCCGGGGCUCAACCUCGGAACUGCAUUCGAUACUGAUAGGCUAGAGUUUGGGAGGGGUAAGCGGAAUUCCGUGUGUAGCAGUGAAAUGCGUAGAUAUACGGAGGAACACCUGAGGCGAAGGCGGCUUACUGGACCAAUACUGACACUGAGACUCGAAAGCGUGGGUAGCAAACAGAAUUAGAUACCCCAGUAGUCC